rnacentral:rRNA from 1 species
GAGGAAUAUUGGUCAAUGGGUGCAAGCCUGAACCAGCCAUCCCGCGUGAAGGACGACUGCCCUAUGGGUUGUAAACUUCUUUUGUAUAGGGAUAAACCUACUCUCGUGAGGGUAGCUGAAGGUACUAUACGAAUAAGCACCGGCUAACUCCGUGCCAGCAGCCGCGGUAAUACGGAGGGUGCAAGCGUUAUCCGGAUUUAUUGGGUUUAAAGGGUCCGUAGGCGGACUUAUAAGUCAGUGGUGAAAGCCUGUCGCUUAACGAUAGAACUGCCAUUGAUACUGUAAGUCUUGAGUAUAUUUGAGGUAGCUGGAAUAAGUAGUGUAGCGGUGAAAUGCAUAGAUAUUACUUAGAACACCAAUUGCGAAGGCAGGUUACCAAGAUAUAACUGACGCUGAGGGACGAAAGCGUGGGGAGCGAAC